AUGGCUUGGGUUCUUCUGCUCCUCACCAUCCUGUCUUCCUUAGGAGCCAGCAUGCAGCAGCUGCAGAGCUCGAAGGAGCCAUACUUUGUAGCCACAGGAGGGACCAUCAUCCUGUCCUGUAGAUAUGAUGCCGGAACCAUCGCUGAUGAAAACUACCCACGAUGGAUCCAGCAGAAGGCAGAGCAGACUCCAAAGCUCUUAAUAUACGACAUCAGCAUCAGAGCCACAGGCAUUCCAGAUCGUUUCUCUGGCUCCAGGUCAGGGAGCACCAUGUCUCUGACCAUCACGGGGGCCUUGGUGGAAGAUGAGGCCACUUAUUACUGUUUUCUUUGGACAGGGAAUGAGUGCACGGUGCUCGAUUCAAAUAGGGAAGUGAGACAAAAACCCUUGAAAGGAAGUGAAACGCUUGCAUUGGUCUUGCCUUUUAUCUCAAGCAGGCUCUGA